AGGCCUAACACAUGCAAGUCGAGAGGGUAGAGGAAGCUUGCUUCCUUGAGACCGGCGCACGGGUGCGUAACGCGUAUGCAAUCUACCUUGUACAGAGGGAUAGCCCAGAGAAAUUUGGAUUAAUACCUCAUAGUAUUAUUGAAUGGCAUCAUUUAAUAAUUAAAGUUCCAACGGUACAAGAUGAGCAUGCGUCCUAUUAGCUAGUUGGUGUGGUAACGGCAUACCAAGGCUACGAUAGGUAGGGGUCCUGAGAGGGAGAUCCCCCACACUGGUACUGAGACACGGACCAGACUCCUACGGGAGGCAGCAGUGAGGAAUAUUGGACAAUGGGCGCAAGCCUGAUCCAGCCAUGCCGCGUGCAGGAAGACGCAUCUAUGGUGUGUAAACUGCUUUUGUACGGGAAGAAACACUCCCUCGUGAGGGAGCUUGACGGUACCGUAAGAAUAAGGAUCGGCUAACUCCGUGCCAGCAGCCGCGGUAAUACGGAGGAUCCAAGCGUUAUCCGGAAUCAUUGGGUUUAAAGGGUCCGUAGGCGGUUUAAUAAGUCAGUGGUGAAAGCCCAUCGCUCAACGAUGGAACGGCCAUUGAUACUGUUAGACUUGAAUUACAAGGAAGUAACUAGAAUAUGUAGUGUAGCGGUGAAAUGCUUAGAUAUUACAUGGAAUACCAAUUGCGAAGGCAGGUUACUACUUGUGGAUUGACGCUGAUGGA
rnacentral:rRNA from 1 species